GAUGAACGCUGGCGGCGUGCCUAAUACAUGCAAGUCGAGCGAACAGAUGAGGAGCUUGCUCCUCUGACGUUAGCGGCGGACGGGUGAGUAACACGUGGAUAACCUACCUAUAAGACUGGGAUAACUUCGGGAAACCGGAGCUAAUACCGGAUAAUAUAUUGAACCGCAUGGUUCAAUAGUGAAAGACGGUUUUGCUGUCACUUAUAGAUGGAUCCGCGCCGCAUUAGCUAGUUGGUAAGGUAACGGCUUACCAAGCGACGAUGCGUAGCCGACCUGAGAGGGUGAUCGGCCACACUGGAACUGAGACACGGUCCAGACUCCUACGGGAGGCAGCAGUAGGGAAUCUUCCGCAAUGGGCGAAAGCCUGACGGAGCAACGCCGCGUGAGUGAUGAAGGUCUUCGGAUCGUAAAACUCUGUUAUUAGGGAAGAACAAAUGUGUAAGUAACUAUGCACGUCUUGACGGUACCUAAUCAGAAAGCCACGGCUAACUACGUG
rnacentral:rRNA from 1 species